rnacentral:rRNA from 1 species
CCUACGGGAGGCUGCAGUGGGGAAUAUUGGACAAUGGGGGGAACCCUGAUCCAGCCAUGCCGCGUGUGUGAAGAAGGCCCUCGGGUUGUAAAGCACUUUCAGUGAGGAAGAACGCCUGGUGGUUAAUACCCAUCAGGAAAGACAUCACUCACAGAAGAAGCACCGGCUAACUCCGUGCCAGCAGCCGCGGUAAUACGGAGGGUGCGAGCGUUAAUCGGAAUUACUGGGCGUAAAGCGCGCGUAGGUGGCUUGAUAAGCCGGUUGUGAAAGCCCCGGGCUCAACCUGGGAACGGCAUCCGGAACUGUUAAGCUAGAGUGCAGGAGAGGAAGGUAGAAUUCCCGGUGUAGCGGUGAAAUGCGUAGAGAUCGGGAGGAAUACCAGUGGCGAAGGCGGCCUUCUGGACUGACACUGACACUGAGGUGCGAAAGCGUGGGUAGCAAACAGGAUUAGAUACCCCUGUAGCC